GGUCCGCAGGCUUAUUUAUCGUAGAUUGGUGAGAUAAUUGUAGAGGCUCCCUCGGUGGAGUUGGAGAGCUCAUUGAAUUUUGAUAGAGGGGUUGAUCAGGCUUGAGGAUAAUAACUUUCUGAUCGGAAAUGAAAUCUUCGGCUGAGUCGAGGAGGGAGAAACCGUCGACGUCGGAGGGGUUCUCGGCGGCAGACUCAUCAGCGAAGAAUUCGAAGGUUUUGGUCUUGAAAGCAAGGGCGAAUUUCUGGAACAUUUCGGAUAUUGGUGGGGCUUUGGGAGUUGGUGAGGUGCCAUCCAUCAUUUCUGUCAUGACAAAUUGAGGGAAUUUGUUUCUCUUUUCUCGUAAUGGGCUGUUAAGAAUGGGAUUGAAUUCCAACUUUUUCUUUCCCCUUCCCUGAAUUUUGUAUCGGGAAGAUUGAUCAGAGAGGAAGAGGAAAGAAAGAGAAAAACUGUUACUUUUUCUUCAGGGUUGUGCUUUGGAUGUCUUGGAAGGAAGGUAUUCCCUGUGCGUGGGUUUCGCCUUCCGGCGCUGCUGCUGCUGCUGCGCUUCUUUCUUUUCUU
rnacentral:misc_RNA from 1 species